UUAAGGAGUUUCAUGGUUAUGAUCUUGAAGAUUACGUACGUUUGCUGCAGUUGUUACGAGAUAACUGGAAACCACUUCGAGAGUUGAUAUUGAAAUUAUUAACGAUAAUAAAAAGAGAUUUACCAACAUUGUGUAGACUAUUUGAAUGAUGUCAAACCUGAAUCGAAUAAAUCUCUGUCAUAUCUGUGUAGUUCCUUGAUAAUUUAUUUAAAGAACUAUUGAUUGCCCG
rnacentral:lncRNA from 1 species